CGCGCGGCGUCGGCCUUUUGGCUAAGGUCAAGUGUAGUAUUUGUUCUAAUCAGUGUAAAAACUGAUUUCCACACUUCGGCGUGUUUUUUCAUAUUCUUGUUACAGCUUCUGAAAGGUUUCGAAGGCCAAGCACUCAUCUCUUGUGAAGCUCACCUACC
rnacentral:snRNA from 1 species